rnacentral:rRNA from 1 species
AACGAACGCUGGCGGCAGGCUUAACACAUGCAAGUCGAACGCAUCGCAAGAUGAGUGGCAGACGGGUGAGUAACGCGUGGGAACAUACCCUUUUCUACGGAAUAGCUCUGGGAAACUGGAAUUAAUACCGUAUACGCCCUACGGGGGAAAGAUUUAUCGGGGAAGGAUUGGCCCGCGUUGGAUUAGGUAGUUGGUGGGGUAAAGGCCUACCAAGGCGACGAUCCAUAGCUGGUCUGAGAGGAUGAUCAGCCACAUUGGGACUGAGACACGGCCCAAACUGCUACGGGAGGCAGCAGUGGGGAAUAUUGGACAAUGCGCGCAAGCUUGAUCCAGCCAUGCCGCGUGAGUGAUGAAGGCCUUAGGGUUGUAAAGCUCUUUCACCGAUGAAGAUAAUGACGGUAGUCGGAGAAGAAGCCCCGGCUAACUUCGUGCCAGCCGCCGCAGGAACAC